rnacentral:rRNA from 1 species
AAGCCGCUUCGGUGGUGGAUUAGUGGCGAACGGGUGAGUAACACGUGGGCAAUCUGCCCUUCACUCUGGGACAAGCCCUGGAAACGGGGUCUAAUACCGGAUAACACUCUGUCCCGCAUGGGACGGGGUUAAAAGCUCCGGCGGUGAAGGAUGAGCCCGCGGCCUAUCAGCUUGUUGGUGGGGUAAUGGCCUACCAAGGCGACGACGGGUAGCCGGCCUGAGAGGGCGACCGGCCACACUGGGACUGAGACACGGCCCAGACUCCUACGGGAGGCAGCAGUGGGGAAUAUUGCACAAUGGGCGAAAGCCUGAUGCAGCGACGCCGCGUGAGGGAUGACGGCCUUCGGGUUGUAAACCUCUUUCAGCAGGGAAGAAGCGAAAGUGACGGUACCUGCAGAAGAAGCGCCGGCUAACUACGUGCCAGCAGCCGCGGUAAUACGUAGGGCGCAAGCGUUGUCCGGAAUUAUUGGGCGUAAAGAGCUCGUAGGCGGCUUGUCACGUCGGAUGUGAAAGCCCGGGGCUUAACCCCGGGUCUGCAUUCGAUACGGGCUAGCUAGAGUGUGGUAGGGGAGAUCGGAAUUCCUGGUGUAGCGGUGAAAUGCGCAGAUAUCAGGAGGAACACCGGUGGCGAAGGCGGAUCUCUGGGCCAUUACUGACGCUGAGGAGCGAAAGCGUGGGGAGCGAACAGGAUUAGAUACCCUGGUAGUCCACGCCGUAAACGUUGGGAACUAGGUGUUGGCGACAUUCCACGUCGUCGGUGCCGCAGCUAACGCAUUAAGUUCCCCGCCUGGGGAGUACGGCCGCAAGGC